rnacentral:rRNA from 1 species
GACGAACGCUGGCGGCGUGCUUAACACAUGCAAGUCGAACGGAAAGGCCCUGCUUUUGUGGGGUGCUCGAGUGGCGAACGGGUGAGUAACACGUGAGUAACCUGCCCUUGACUUUGGGAUAACUUCAGGAAACUGGGGCUAAUACCGGAUAGGAGCUCCUGCUGCAUGGUGGGGGUUGGAAAGUUUCGGCGGUUGGGGAUGGACUCGCGGCUUAUCAGCUUGUUGGUGGGGUAGUGGCUUACCAAGGCUUUGACGGGUAGCCGGCCUGAGAGGGUGACCGGCCACACUGGGACUGAGAUGCGGCACAGACUACUACGGGAGGCAGCAGUGGGGAAUAGUGCACAAUGGGAGGAAGCCUGAUGCAGCAACGCCGCGUGGGGGAUAACGGCCUUCGGGUUGUAAACCGAUUUCGCCUGUGACGAAGCGUGAGUGACGGUAAUGGGUAAAGAAGCACCGGCUAACUACGUG